AUUGAACGCUGGCGGCAGGCCUAACACUUGCAAGUCGGACGGUAGCACAGAGGAGCUUGCUCCUCGGGUGACGAGUGGCGUACGGGUGAGUAAUGUCUGGGGAUCUGCCCGAUAGAGGGGGAUAACCACUGGAAACGGUGGCUAAUACCGCAUAACGUCGCAAGACCAAAGAGGGGGACCUUCGGGCCUCUCACUACUGGAUGAACCCAGAUGGGAUUAGCUAGUAGGCGGGGUAACGGCCCACCUAGGCGACGAUCCCUAGCUGGUCUGAGAGGAUGACCAGCCACACUGGAACUGAGACACGGUCCAGACUCCUACGGGAGGCAGCAGUGGGGAAUAUUGCACAAUGGGCGCAAGCCUGAUGCAGCCAUGCCGCGUGUAUGAAGAAGGCCUUCGGGUUGUAAAGUACUUUCAGCGGGGAGGAAGGCGAUGUGGUUAAUAACCGCAUUGAUUGACGUUACCCGCAGAAGAAGCACCGGCUAACUCCGUGCCAGCAGCCGCCGUAA
rnacentral:rRNA from 1 species